rnacentral:rRNA from 1 species
UACGUAGGGACCGAGCGUUGUUCGGAUUCAUUGGGCGUAAAGGGUGUGUAGGUGGCGCCGUAAGUCGGGUGUGAAAUUUCGGAGCUUAACUCCGAAACUGCAUUCGAUACUGCGGUGCUUGAGGACUGGAGAGGAGACUGGAAUUCAUGGUGUAGCGGUGAAAUGCGUAGAUAUCAAGAGGAACACCUGAGGUGAAGACGGGUUGCUGGGCUGACACUGACGCUGAGGCGCGAAAGCCAGGGGAGCAAACGGG